AUACUUACCUGGACUGAAUCAAUGAGUGAUCAAAGAGGCUCAUGGUUUAGGUUGGUGACCUUCAUUGCACUUAGGAGGGGUGCUUGCCUAGGUCGACCCAAGUGGCUGAGCCUACGUCAUAAUUUGUGACAGUAGAGGCCAACGUUUGCGCGGCCUCUU